rnacentral:rRNA from 1 species
GACUAAGCCAUGCGAGUCAAAUGUUCUUCGUGAACAUGGCGUACUGCUCAGUAACACGUGGAUAACCUGCCCUUAGGUCUGGCAUAACCCCGGGAAACUGGGGAUAAUUCCGGAUAGAUCAUGGAUGCUGGAAUGCACCGUGGUCGAAAGCUUUUGUGCCUAAGGAUGGGUCUGCGGUCUAUCAGGUUGUAGUGGGUGUAACGUACCUACUAGCCUACGACGGAUACGGGUUGUGGGAGCAAGAGCCCGGAGAUGGAUUCUGAGACAUGAAUCCAGGCCCUACGGGGCGCAGCAGGCGCGAAAACUUUACAAUGCGGGAAACCGCGAUAAGGGGACACCGAGUGCCAGCAUCCUAUGUUGGCUGUCCAUAUGUAUAAAUAACAUGUGUUAGCAAGGGCCGGGCAAGACCGGUGCCAGCCGCCGCGGUAACACCGGCGGCCCGAGUGGUGGCCACUAUUAUUGGGUCUAAAGGGUCCGUAGCCGGUUUGGUCAGUCUUCCGGGAAAUCUGACGGCUUAACCGUUAGGCUUUCGGGGGAUACUGCCAGGCUUGGGACCGGGAGAGGUAAGAGGUACUACGGGGGUAGGAGUGAAAUCUUGUAAUCCCUGUGGGACCACCAGUGGCGAAGGCGUCUUACCAGAACGGGUCCGACGGUGAGGGACGAAAGCUGGGGGCACGAACCGGAUUAGAUACCCGGGUAGUCCCAGCCGUAAACUAUGCUCGCUAGGUGUCAGGGACGGUGCGACCGUUUCUGGUGCCGUAGGGAAGCCGUGAAGCGAGCCACCUGGGAAGUACGGUCGCAAGGCUGAAACUUAGAGGAAUUGGCGGGGGAGCACUACAACGGGUGGAGCCUGCGGUUUAAUUGGAGUCAACGCCGGGAA